rnacentral:rRNA from 1 species
UACAGAGGGGGCAAGCGUUGUUCGGAAUUACUGGGCGUAAAGGGCGCGUAGGCGGCCUGUUAAGUCGAACGUGAAAUCCCCGGGCUCAACCCGGGAACUGCGUCCGAUACUGGCAGGCUUGAAUUCGGGAGAGGGAUGCGGAAUUCCAGGUGUAGCGGUGAAAUGCGUAGAUAUCUGGAGGAACACCGGUGGCGAAGGCGGCAUCCUGGACCGAGAUUGACGCUGGGGCGCGAAAGCCAGGGGAGCAAACGGG